AACGCCAGUUUGGCGCGUAUCAAGCAGGAUGGACAAGAUGCAGCUAGCGAUUAUUAGACUGGGCGUGUGAUGGAGACGCGGGUAUCCUUACGCUGUCGGGCAUUGUCUACUGCGCAAAGGAUCAGCAAGGUUGUGAGGUUGAUUUUUAUUAUUUUUAUUAAUAUUAUUUGUAUGUAUUUUGUAAUAAUAUAAUGUACAUAAAACUAUAGUCAUACGUUAUUGGUACUGUGUUAAUAUUAAUUUUAAAAAUAUUUUUUUACUAUAUACCUAUUUCUGUUUAAUUUAAAUAACUAUAAGAUUA
rnacentral:misc_RNA from 1 species